rnacentral:rRNA from 1 species
UACGUAGGGGGCAAGCGUUGUCCGGAUUUAUUGGGCGUAAAGAGCGUGUAGGCGGCCGUACAGGUCAGCUGUGAAAACUCGAGGCUCAACCUCGAGACGUCGGUUGAAACCGUACGGCUAGAGUCCGGAAGAGGAGAGUGGAAUUCCCGGUGUAGCGGUGAAAUGCGCAGAUAUCGGGAAGAACACCCGUGGCGAAGGCGGCUCUCUGGGACGGUACUGACGCUGAGACGCGAAAGCGUGGGGAGCGAACGAGG